GACUAAGCGUACACGGUGGAUGCCCUGGCAGUCAGAGGCGAUGAAGGACGUGCUAAUCUGCGAAAAGCGUCGGUAAGGUGAUAUGAACCGUUAUAACCGGCGAUGUCCGAAUGGGGAAACCCAGUGCAAUUCGUUGCACUAUCGUUAACUGAAUACAUAGGUUAACGAGGCGAACCGGGGGAACUGAAACAUCUAAGUACCCCGAGGAAAAGAAAUCAACCGAGAUUCCCCCAGUAGCGGCGAGCGAACGGGGAGCAGCCCAGAGUCUGAAUCAGCUUGUGUGUUAGUGGAACGGUCUGGAAAGUCCGACGGUACAGGGUGAUAGUCCCGUACACCAAAAUGCACAGGUUGUGAACUCGAAGAGUAGGGCGGGACACGUGGUAUCCUGUCUGAAUAUGGGGGGACCAUCCUCCAAGGCUAAAUACUCCUGACUGACCGAUAGUGAACCAGUACCGUGAGGGAAAGGCGAAAAGAACCCCGGCGAGGGGAGUGAAAAAGAACCUGAAACCGUGUACGUACAAGCAGUGGGAGCACCUUCGGGUGUGACUGCGUACCUUUUGUAUAAUGGGUCAGCGACUUAUAUUCUGUAGCAAGGUUAACCGUAUAGGGGAGCCGCAGGGAAACCGAGUCUUAACUGGGCGUUAAGUUGCAGGGUAUAGACCCGAAACCCGGUGAUCUAGCCAUGGGCAGGUUGAAGGUUGGGUAACACUAACUGGAGGACCGAACCGACUAAUGUUGAAAAAUUAGCGGAUGACUUGUGGCUGGGGGUGAAAGGCCAAUCAAACCGGGAGAUAGCUGGUUCUCCCCGAAAGCUAUUUAGGUAGCGCCUCGUGAACUCAUCUUCGGGGGUAGAGCACUGUUUCGGCUAGGGGGUCAUCCCGACUUACCAACCCGAUGCAAACUACGAAUACCGAAGAAUGUUAUCACGGGAGACACACGGCGGGUGCUAACGUCCGUCGUGAAGAGGGAAACAACCCAGACCGCCAGCUAAGGUCCCAAAGUCAUGGUUAAGUGGGAAACGAUGUGGGAAGGCACAGACAGCCAGGAUGUUGGCUUAGAAGCAGCCAUCAUUUAAAGAAAGCGUAAUAGCUCACUGGUCGAGUCGGCCUGCGCGGAAGAUGUAACGGGGCUAAACCAUGCACCGAAGCUGCGGCAGCGACACUAUGUGUUGUUGGGUAGGGGAGCGUUCUGUAAGCCUGCGAAGGUGUGCUGUGAGGCAUGCUGGAGGUAUCAGAAGUGCGAAUGCUGACAUAAGUAACGAUAAAGCGGGUGAAAAGCCCGCUCGCCGGAAGACCAAGGGUUCCUGUCCAACGUUAAUCGGGGCAGGGUGAGUCGACCCCUAAGGCGAGGCCGAAAGGCGUAGUCGAUGGGAAACAGGUUAAUAUUCCUGUACUUGGUGUUACUGCGAAGGGGGGACGGAGAAGGCUAUGUUAGCCGGGCGACGGUUGUCCCGGUUUAAGCAUGUAGGCUG
rnacentral:rRNA from 1 species